AUGUCAUCUAGUGGAUGUUUUAGACAUUUACACAAAUCUGUUGUACAGUGUUUAUAGUGGACUCUGCAGAAGGGGCUUCAGUUUACUUGAUGAAAAGAAAAAUCAGCCUGUUCAAGCCUUGCAAAUAAUGAUUUGUUAUGAGUAAAUAUUUGAUUUUUAUACCUAUUUUAUAUACCUGUAUUUUAACAUAGGGUCACGUAAAAAAAAAUUCAGGCCAAAAGGGGGUCCUGAGUGGAAAGGUUCAAGAAGCCCUGAUCUGUAUCAUAUUCUCCAACAAUCAUGAUUUGACAGGGACAGUCACAAUUACCACGUUGUUGUACUUUUCCAGCUGCUUUUGAAAUAUUCCAGUUUCUUUCUCCUUUCCCCACUUUCGUCCUUCAUUCUCAUUUUACGUCAAUUGUAGAAAAAUAGUUUUACACUCAUUUGCGCAGAAAAUUGGGAAGAAGAAGAGCCGGAGCCUUGUCUACAUCCCAGGCAAAAGCAAUCUGUUGCAGCCUCUCUUAGCUUUUCACAAAUGUUGCCCUCUUUACCAGACUCUGAUGCUGUUAAGCCACAUGUGUCCUGGUUUUCACCUGUGCAGUAUUGGAAAGUAUAUUAUGUUGGGCGGCAACUCCCAGUGUGCCUCACAAUUGGCCCUACAGGUAGGAGGUGCUGAGAAUUGCAGUACAAUAGUAUCCGGAGGAUCACACUCCGCUCACCUGCGCUCUAAGAACAGAUUGUGCUGAUUUUGUUGAUGACUUCCUUCUUGAUUCAGCCUCAAACAAAACCAACACCGAACCAGGAAUUGAAGGCAGAAAGACUGACACAUCUGACAUUUCUUUGCCAGAGCUGCAUUAUACUUGAAGGAUGUCUUCCAUCUUGAAAGUGUUUGGGAGAGACGAUAAGGAGAAGGAAAAGGAGAAGGAAAAAGACAAGAAAGAUGAAGACAAAAAAGACAAGAAAAAGAAGGAGAAAAAGCAUGAUGGAAAAGAUGAUGACAGCAGCAGCAGCUCCGACAGUGAUUCUGAAAAGGGUCAUAGUGGUGCCAAAAAGGAAAAGAAGAAGAAGGAAAAGAAAGAAAAGAAUUAACUUUCAAGGCAACUUUAAACUAGCAAAGGCAAAAACAUUGACCAAACUAGCUAAGAUCCUCAUGCCAUUUGGAGAGAAGAAUCAACUGCCUGAAUUUAAUUUACCCAAAAUUAUGUGUAUUAAAUUUGUUUAUAUUAAAACUUGGUCUGUUCCUUCUCUCUCUCCCCCCCCCCCCACUCUCAAUCUUCAACUGUCAGCCUUUCAAUGAAGCUUUAUGUUCAGAACAUCUUUCAUUUCUUGUGCCAUCCAUCAGAUUCUCCUUGCUUUCAUCCACACUCAUUUUGCUCCUCAUAUCAAAGGGUGGAAGAGAAACUGAUUAAUAGGAAAAGGUUUGCCAUGGUCUGCUAAGAAAUGACUAAUUACUUGUUUGUGAAACUUUCUGCGAUAAUGAAAGGGUCCGUCCUUAAAGUACUGUUGGCUUUCCUGUGACAGACUAAGCCAUCUACCUCUCUGAAUGCAGUCUGGAUUCUGAGAUACCCCAUUCUUUCACAACAGAUUGGACUGAAGCAGAG
rnacentral:lncRNA from 11 species